GAUGAACGCUGGCGGCGUGCCUAACACAUGCAAGUCGAGCGUGAACCGUCUGAAUGAAACUUCGGUCGAGUGAGGAUGGGGAAAGCGGCGGACGGGUGAGUAACGCGUAGGCAACCUGCCCCGUACAGAGGGAUAGCCUCGGGAAACCGGGAUUAAGACCUCAUAAUACCAUUAUCUCACAUGUGAUAAUGGUCAAAGAUUUUAUCGGUAUGGGAUGGGCCUGCGUCUGAUUAGCUGGUUGGUGGGGUAACGGCUCACCAAGGCGACGAUCAGUAGCCGACCUGAGAGGGUAAUCGGCCACAUUGGAACUGAGACACGGUCCAAACUCCUACGGGAGGCAGCAGUGGGGAAUAUUGCACAAUGGGCGAAAGCCUGAUGCAGCAACGCCGCGUGAGCGAGGAAGGCCUUUGGGUCGUAAAGCUCUGUCGAGGAGGAAGAUAAUGACGGUACUCCUCGAGGAAGCCCCGGCUAACUACCGUGCCAGCAGCCGCGGUAAAACG
rnacentral:rRNA from 1 species